rnacentral:rRNA from 1 species
AUUGAACGCUGGCGGCAUGCCUUACACAUGCAAGUCGAACGGGAACAGGUCUUCGGAUGCUGACGAGUGGCGAACGGGUGAGUAAUACAUCGGAACGUGCCCGAUCGUGGGGGAUAACGAGGCGAAAGCUUUGCUAAUACCGCAUACGAUCUACGGAUGAAAGCGGGGGAUCUUCGGACCUCGCGCGGACGGAGCGGCCGAUGGCAGAUUAGGUAGUUGGUGGGAUAAAAGCUUACCAAGCCGACGAUCUGUAGCUGGUCUGCGAGGAUGAUCAGCCACACUGGGACUGAGACACGGCCCAGACUCCUACGGGAGGCAGCAGUGGGGAAUUUUGGACAAUGGGCGAAAGCCUGAUCCAGCCAUGCCGCGUGCAGGAUGAAGGCCUUCGGGUUGUAAACUGCUUUUGUACGGAACGAAAAGCCUCUUUUUAAUAAAGAGGGGUCAUGACGGUACCGUAAGAAUAAGCACCGGCUAACUACGUG